rnacentral:rRNA from 1 species
UACGUAGGGUGCAAGCGUUGUCCGGAAUUAUUGGGCGUAAAGAGCUCGUAGGCGGUUUGUCGCGUCGAAUGUGAAAACCCGGGGCUCAACCCCGGGCCUGCAUUCGAUACGGGCAGACUAGAGUUCGGUAGGGGAGUCUGGAAUUCCUGGUGUAGCGGUGAAAUGCGUAGAUAUCUGGAGGAAUACCGGUGGCGAAGGCGGCAUCCUGGACCGGCAUUGACGCUGAGGAGCGAAAGCCAGGGGAGCAAACGGG